GUGGGGAAUUUUGCGCAAUGGGCGAAAGCCUGACGCAGCAACGCCGCGUGCGGGAUGAAGGCCUUCGGGUUGUAAACCGCUUUCAGCAGGGAUGAAACUGACAGUACCUGCAGAAGAAGCCCCGGCUAACUACGUGCCAGCAGCCGCGGUAAUACGUAGGGGGCGAGCGUUAUCCGGAUUCAUUGGGCGUAAAGAGCGCGUAGGCGGCUUGUUAAGCGAGAUGUGAAAACCGGGGGCUUAACCCGCGGCCUGCAUCUCGAACUGGCAGGCUUGAGUCUGGUAGAGGAGUGUGGAAUUCCCAGUGUAGCGGUGAAAUGCGCAGAUAUUGGGAGGAACACCAGUGGCGAAGGCGGCACUCUGGGCCACGACUGACGCUGAGGCGCGAAAGCUAGGGGAGCGAACAGGAUUAGAUACCCUAGUAGUCC
rnacentral:rRNA from 1 species